rnacentral:misc_RNA from 1 species
GAUGAAGAACGUAGCGAAAUGCGAUACGUAAUGUGAAUUGCAGAAUUCAGUGAAUCAUCGAAUUUUUGAACGCAUAUUGCGCUCUCUGGUAUUCCGGAGAGCAUGCUUGUUUGAGUAUCAGUAAACACCUCAACUCCCCUUUCUUUUUUGAAAUGGGAGCUGGACUUGAGUGAUCCCAACGCUUUUCUCACCGAAAAGUGGCGGGUUACUUGAAAUGCAGGUGCAGCUGGACUUUUCUCUGAGCUAAAAGCAUAUCUAUUUAGUCUGCCUAAAAAACAGAUUAUUACCUUUGCUGCAGCUAACAUAAAGGAGAUUAGUUCUUGUGCUGACUGAUGCAGGAUUCACAGAGACAGCUUCGGCUGGCCUUUGUAAACUCGAUCUCAAAUCAAGUAAGACUACCCGCUGAACUUAAGCAUAUCAAUAAGCGGAGGA